rnacentral:tRNA from 11 species
GGUACGGUACGGUACGGUACGGUACGGUACGUACGUACGUACGUACGUACGUCGUACGUACGUACGUACGUACCGUACCGUACCGUACCGUACCGUACCGUAC